UCCUAAUCCAUUUAUACAUUUUUCCUUUAAUACCGAUCUAAUGCAACUUGAUCAGGAGCCCUUCUUUCCACAUCAUAUGCCUUCUUAACAUCUAAACGCACAACUGCUACACUUUCCUUAUUCACUUGGGCUGAGCUACCUGUGUUUUUCCACUGUUUCCCUGUAUGUCUUUCUCUGGGCGGAGCCCUCAUCAGUCCACUUGCUUAGCUCACCUGACGGAGAUCAGGACAACCAGCAAAAGAGUAUUUAGGACCAGCGCUGACAUCUCUUCACCGCCAGUUCAUCAGCUGACCUCACUCAUCUCUUGGAGCCAUCAUUCCAACCAUCAUACCUGCAGCUUGCAUUCCCAGGAUGCUGGCCUCUGGGCCCCCCAUGACACAAAUAAACCUGUGUUAAAGAUUCCCUUUGUGUCCAGCAACAUGUCUUUAUCCUGUCUUCCUUCUCUCACCCCAACCGGUCGCUGCAGAUGGCCCCGCCCCUCCCUGAGCCUGGAUCUGCCGGAGGUUUCUUCCUGUUAAAAGGGAGUUUUUCCUUCCCGCUGUCGCUAAAGUGCUUGCUCAUAGGGGGUCAUAUGAUUGUUGGGUUUUUUUUCUCUGUAUGUAUUA